CGACACGACGCUGGACGCGGCGGCGGCGGCGCUGAUUGGACGCGACGCGCGGCCCCGGGCCCGGUGCCGCUGCUGGAUACGAUGUAGCCGCUCGCCCGCCCCGCCCGGCCCGGGGACAGCGCUGCAGGGCGCUGGCCAUGGAGCCGGGCACCAUCGACAACCUGUCCAUCCUGUACCAGAGCUCCGACUUCAUCGUGGUCAACAAGCACUGGGACAUCCGCAUCGACAGCAAGAUGUGGUACGAGACCCUGACCCUGCAGAGCCAGCUCAAGUACCGCUUCCCCGAGCUGGCCGACCCCGACACCUACUACGGCUUCAGGUUCUGCCACCAGCUCGACUUCUCCACCAGCGGGGCCCUGUGCGUCGCGCUCAACAAAGCAGCAGCGGGGAGUGCCUACAAGUGUUUUAAAGACCGACUGGUGACCAAAGCUUAUCUCGCCCUGGUCAGGGGCCACGUCAGCCAGAGCCGAAUGACGAUCCGCUACGCCAUAGGGAAGAACACCACUGAGGGCAUGACCCACAUGAUGUGCAUCGAUGGGACGGAGGGCUGUGAAAAUCCCAAACCUUGCCAGUCGGAGCUGAUCGUGCUCGAACACGGGUCCUACAGCGGAGACCCCGUAACCAAAGUGCUGCUGCAGCCGCUGACAGGGCGGACUCAUCAGCUCCGGGUUCACUGCAGCGCCAUUGGCCACCCCAUCGUGGGGGACUUCACCUACAGCCACAAGAAGGACAGCAGUCCCUACAGGAUGAUGCUCCACGCCUACUACCUGCGCAUCCCCACCGGCAAGGAGCUCAUCGAGGUCUGCGCGCCCGACCCCUUCGUCACCGCCAUGGACAGCAACUGGGUGCCCCACCACGUCAUUCACCAGCUGGAUGAGACCAUCCAAGAGCUGAAGGACAAGAUGAUGCAGAAAGGAGAAGAGGAGGAGAGCCAGGAAGCCGUGCUUGGUGGCCAGGGAGAGGAGGCACAGCAUGAAGCCAAGAGCCCGGAGACGGAGGAGCAGCGAGCCCAGUGUCAACAGUGGUUGGCCGAGUGGGCUUUGGAGUGAGCACAAACCACACCUCUGCAUUUCCAGCCCAAUGCUCCAUUUUCGUCCCAGUGGGUCCCCACAGAGCCCAGCGCUGACUCCACAUCUGCACUUUCUGUAUGCCGUGGCUUCCCUCACAUCUGGGGCUGGGCCUAGACAGAUUUUAGCAGCGAUUAGGGAUUAGGAUGGGUUAAUUUUUUAAUGUACACAUCAUCCAUCUGGCCAGUGGAUGCCCCUUUCCUAAUUCUGGGCCUUCAGCAGCAGAGUCAGUGUGUCAUGUACCAGCUUAGAGUGACCCCAAAGCUUUACAUCCCUGUCCCAGGGCUCAGGUAUAGCCGAGGCAGCACCAACGCUGCCUUUACCAUGAGUGUGAUGGACGUAUCUGCAAACCCUCAGUGCUUGGAUGCUAAAGACCAGCCCAGCAAAGGGAGAGAACAUCCCGGGUGCAGCUUCAGGGGGUGUGUGUCCCAUUCCCUUUGCUCCCGGGUGUUUUGCCCUGGAGCUGGGCUGUGCCACGGGUGCAGGAGAGGUCCCUGCCUGCCCGACCCUGCUCUCACGCUUCCCUCCCUGCCUCGGCUCACGUGUGGGUUUUUUAAAGGUUUGUUGAAGGCGAGUGAGUUGAUACGAAUGGAUUUUAAACUUUUUUUUUUAAAAUUUCUAUGAGAAGAAUCCAGUCUUUUAGCAGUUCUGAAAUACGGGUGGUCUCCGAAAUGCGUGUAUUUUUAGUAUUUCUGUGGUCAGAAUAGCCAGCAGCCCAAAGCUUUUUUAAUAGAUCUUAUUAUUCCUUAUGAUCUAUUUUAAUAGAUCUUAUUACUCUACGAGCAUUGCCUUUUCUUAGCACCCACUCUUAUUCUGGAUGUGGACCUAACUCCUGCUGAGGCAGGUCAGAAGACACAAGCCCCUUUCUGCUUUGCACAGACGAGAAGGAAUCUGUUUUUGUCCCGUGGCGUGGCUCCUUUCUGGUGGGUUUCUGUGUGGGUGUCAGCACCCAGGUGUGCCACGGGCAGGACCUACGGGUGGGCAGUUUGGGAGAGCUCUGGAGCAGCGAAAGCUGCUGAGGAAAUGGUUAAAGCUAAAAGAAAGGCUGAGGACUGUCGGGAAGAGUGGGAAGGAGCUCAUCUCACAACGGAACUCAGCUUUGCAAGAUGCCAAGAGGAGUUUCUCUGGAAACUUUGCAGGAUGCAAGAUGCCAAGAGGAGUUUUUCCUGCAGUCUCUGGAGGACGUUUUGGAAAUGAAGAGAGCGGGGGUGGGCUGGGGAGGGACAGAGGUGGCUGGAGCCCCUUGCACAGAGAGCACCCAUCCCUGGGUAUUCAGCACCAAGCCACCACAUCAGCACAUGCCCGGAGCUAUCGUCACCUCACAAGCCCUGUCCCAUUUAAAAUGCACCUGACAGUGGUUUCAUGCAACUCAUGUUCCUACCCUGAGGGGAAAUAAAACAGCACAACCCUC